rnacentral:rRNA from 1 species
CAAUAGCGUAUAUUAAAGUUGUUGCAGUUAAAAAGCUCGUAGUUGGAUUUCUGGUGGGAGCGAUCGGUCUGGCGCUUAGCGCGAGUACUUGCAUCGUCUCCGGCCAUCCUUGGGGAGAGUCUGUCUGGCAUUAAGUUGUCGGGCAGAGGAUCCUCAUCGUUUACUGUGAAAAAAUUAGAGUGUUCAAAGCGGGCUUACGCUUGAAUAUAUUAGCAUGGAAUAACACCAUAGGACUCCUGUCCUAUUUCGUUGGUCUCGAGACGGGAGUAAUGAUUAAGAGGAACAGUUGGGGGCAUUCGUAUUUCAUUGUCAGAGGUGAAAUUCUUGGAUUUAUGAAAGACGAACUUCUGCGAAAGCAUUUGCCAAGGAUGUUUUCAUUGA